rnacentral:rRNA from 1 species
GGACGAACGCUGGCGGCGUGCUUAAUACAUGCAAGUCGAGCGAGGUUAUUUUACUGCGUUUCUUCGGAAGCAAAGUUUCUUAACCUAGCGGCGGAUGGGUGAGUAACGCGUGGGUAACCUACCCUAAAGUUCGGGAUAACAGUUGGAAACGAUUGCUAAUACCGAAUAUUCUCUUUUUGUGGCAUCACAUUAAGAGGAAAGGUUACGCUUUAGGAUGGACCCGCGUCCCAUUAGCUAGUUGGUAAGGUAAUGGCUUACCAAGGCGACGAUGGGUAGCCGGCCUGAGAGGGUGUACGGCCACACUGGGACUGAGACACGGCCCAGACUCCUACGGGAGGCAGCAGUAGGGAAUAUUGCGCAAUGGAGGGAACUCUGACGCAGCGACGCCGCGUGAGCGAUGAAGGUCUUCGGAUCGUAAAGCUCUGUCCUUGGGGAAGAAGGGUGCAUUAUAGCAUCUUGACGGUACCCGAGGAGGAAGCCCCGGCUAACUACGUGCCAGCAGCCGCGGUAAUACGUAGGGGGCAAGCGUUGUCCGGAAUUAUUGGGCGUAAAGGGUGCGUAGGCGGCCUUUUAAGUCAGGUGUGAAAGCCCACGGCUUAACCGUGGGAUUGCAUUUGAAACUGGAAGGCUUGAGUAUCGGAGAGGGUAGUGGAAUUCCCAGUGUAGCGGUGAAAUGCGUAGAUAUUGGGAGGAACACCAGUGGCGAAGGCGACUACCUGGACGAAAACUGACGCUGAUGCACGAAAGCUAGGGGAGCAAACAGGAUUAGAUACCCUGGUAGUCCUAGCUGUAAACGAUGGGUACUAGGUGUAGGAGGUUUCGAUACCUUCUGUGCCGGAGUUAACGCAUUAAGUACCCCGCCUGGGGAGUACGUGCGCAAGAAUG